rnacentral:tRNA from 1 species
UGCACCCUCGCAGACUCGAACUGCGUACCUCGGGACUUCAAUCCGAUGCUUUUCCUGUUAAGCUAAAGGUGC